CAAAAACAUGUCCUCUAGGAGAAAAUAUGAGGUCUGACCUGCCCGAUGUGGGAUGAAUGGCCGCAGUACUCUGACUGUGCUAAGGUAGCAUAAUCAUUUGCCUUUUAAAUGGAGGAUGGCAUGAAGGGUUUGACGAAGGGGGGGCUGUCUCUCGAGUAUUAAAACGAAAUUUAAUUAAGGGUGAAAAUGCCCCUUAUAGAGUGGAGGGACGAAAAGACCCUAAGAUCUUACCCUGAUCUUUUACAGACAGUAAGAGCUCCGGUUUUCCUGGGAAGGGACACACAAAAAACUGUUGAAAAAUUGAAGGCAAGCGGGCCAAAAAGCGAACCCCAGAGUGUGGGAAUUAGGAAAAAGUUACCUUAGGGAUAACAGCAGAAUACCAACCAGGGAGAUCUAAUUUUUGGUGGGGAUUCUGACCUCGAUGUUGAAUUAGGUUUUCAUCCGGGAGAAGAAAUUCGGAUAGUGGGAUCGUUCAUCCUUUAAAAUCCUACGUGAUCUGA
rnacentral:rRNA from 1 species